UACGAAGGGGGCUAGCGUUGCUCGGAAUCACUGGGCGUAAAGCGCACGUAGGCGGCUUCUUAAGUCAGGGGUGAAAUCCUGGAGCUCAACUCCAGAACUGCCUUUGAUACUGAGAAGCUUGAGUCCGGGAGAGGUGAGUGGAACUGCGAGUGUAGAGGUGAAAUUCGUAGAUAUUCGCAAGAACACCAGUGGCGAAGGCGGCUCACUGGCCCGGUACUGACGCCGAGGUGCGAAAGCGUGGGGAGCAAACAGG
rnacentral:rRNA from 1 species